GCCUUAAGCAAGUGGCAGAUGUGGCCUUUGAAGCUUGGGAAUCAGAUUGCUCCUAAAAGACCUGGACCUGCAGAAGAGGUUAACGUGACAAACCAGAGUACAAGUCUCCCAUGGGAAGAAGUGUAUAUAUUUCUUAUUCAAUUAUUCCUCAAACAGAAUUGUCUCUGAAAGAAAAUAGACUUUGGACUUGCAUUCACUAACAAGAGUAAGACUGUAAUCG
rnacentral:sRNA from 1 species